UUGUUACACAGACAGGAAGGAAGACUCAUGGGAAGAAACAACUGUGGCAGGCACAGACAGAAACAGCAGGCAUCAGCCCAGGAAGAAGAGAAGAAUAGUCACGGAGGCCCCUUUCAGGAGUGACAGAGUGGCAACCAGCUGCUUCCAGGGGAUCUUCUAAACACUGCUGUCAAGGAAUGUUGUUUUGGAGAUUACCAGAUGUACAUUGAUGUUGAAGAAGGGACCCACUUUUAUGUUUAGGUGGGAUAAUAAAUAAAUGCAUUGCCAAGUAGUCUGAAGGCCCAACCACAAGAAUCUUCUUGAAGACAGAGCUCUGGAAAAGUAAUGGAUAUCUGAAUACACAUUCAGAGCAAGAGCAGAAAUGAAAGAAUGUGGGAAGAAUAAAGAAGCUGCUACAAACUGCUGAGAUUAAGCAGACCACAGAGUCAGACCAACUGACUUUUAAGAGCAAUGUGGAUAUUGACAACAACAGCAACAACCCAUCCCACUGUGAUUGUCAUGGACAGCCAGCUAAGGCAGUAUUCUUCAACCUUGGGUCCCCAGAUGUUGCUGGACUAUAACUCCCAUAACCCCUGACCACUGUCCAAGCUGGCUGAGGAUGAUGGGGUUUGUAGUCUAAAACCAUCUGGGGACCCAAAGUUCAAGAUCAGUGAGCUAAGGUACUGUCUCUCUUCUAGCCCAAUGCACCUCACCCUGAAGCUGCACCUCCUACUCAUCCCCUUUGUGGAUAGACAUGGAGGUGAGUUAGGUUCUCUGCUAGAGAUACCUGCAACCCUUGUUAGUAGUAUAAAGCCUUCACAAUCACAAACAGCAAUGCCAGUCAAGAGCUACUCAGCCUUGCGGUGAAUAUCCUGCCAUUCCUUAAUUCAGGCAAGAUGUUCUUUCCUUGGAACUUUCUUACACUCCCUCUACUGAUGAUGUUUUCCUGUGUCCACACUGGUCCUUGUGGCAAAAGAACAAAAGUUGUGAUAAAAGAACAAAACAAGUAAACGUCCAACAGCAAAAAUCAUGCAACUGGUAAUUUUGGAUGGGCAUCUGUGAAGGUGUCUUUUGAUGACUGAAAAGUAGGCUGUGUGACAGAGGGUACCUUGCAAUGAUGAAUCUAUGGUUUUACCAAGACUUUGGGGGGGGUUGUACACUUGUUAUAAAAUCACUUAACCAUUUAAGUCAUCCAAGUAUCCUAGGAGGAGGAAUCUCUGUUCUGUGAGCACAGGAAAAAAUGCAGUAUACAUUCUGGAAUAUCAUGUGGUCAUUCCUGUAAUGAUAGAAAUAUUCCCAUCUUUUAAAAAGUGUUGACAAGCAGCUAACCUGAAUAAAUUGAUGUCAUCAUUGAUCACAGUAGGGUACUCAGCUCCCUUUUUGUUACCUUAGUAAGCAUAAUCUGAAAAUACCCAGUGGUGAAUUAUGAAAGGAACAAAUGAAAGGAGUGGUGAACAAAACAAUGACAGUAUUUCAAUGUAUCUGGGAACCCUUUUUUAUUGGAUCACAGGAUGUGGGAGUGGUGAACAAAACAAUGACAGUAUUUCAAUGUAUCUGGGAACCCUUUUUUUAAAAAAAAACUUUAUUAAAGGAUUGGGUAGAUAUCAGGUGAAAAGAAUAUCAAAGAUAUUGCAAAGCAACUCAGUAGUAGUAGAACUUGCAGAAAGGAACAGUCUGUCUUAGAUAGUUAAAACAGGGUACCUGUAGAGAUUAGACUAUGAUGGAUCCUGCCUUUGAACAACAAAAAUUUUAUUCCUUUUCUCCAUCUCUCUGUAUGAUCUUCCCUUUUAUCCAAAACACAAAGGGCAGAAAUGUAAUUGGGAUCUGUAUUCUCUUAUGUAUUUGUGAGAUGAUAGAUCUCAGCCUUACAGAAAGAGAUGGAUCUGGCAUCAUUUUAAGCAAAGUAGGCCUAAUCAAUGGAGGUUAAUUUUACAAAUACCUCAUACCUACCGUUUUCCCUAAAGAUCCAUUUUUUUAAUUUUUGCCUCAAGGAAGCUUCUGCAAAUGCUUUUAGAAGGGAAGGCUUGGGAAGAAGCUAAUACUGGAGGACAGGGCCCAUGAGAGGGGAGUGCAGGGGGUACAUCUUACCUGGGCCCGGGGUCAAAAAGGGGGCCUGGGAGCCAAAGGAGGGGAGCUCCCUUUGUUAUGUCAUUUCCUGCUGGCUCCCAUUCUGCAAGCCUGCUACAAAUGGUGCUUUUUUUUUCUUUCUCCCCUAACUUGUGCAAAAAAGCAUAACAUUGUUCAAACAAAUAUUCUGUUGGAUUCUGAAAAUACAAAUAAUCAAACUUGAGGAUUUUUUUCAUUUUUUAUGAAACUUACUCUGGAAGAAACAGAGCAUGCUCGGUGUCCAAGGUAACAAGAGGAAGAGAUACUUUGACCUUAAGGAGGUGUGGUCAUUAGGAAGCUAGAUUAACCCUUCCCCUUUAGCAUGAAAGGAAAAAUGGGGUUUGAGGCCUCAUAUAAGGUAAGCAAUGUGAACCUUUAACCUCUAUCACGAUGAGAAAUCAUCUUUCCAAAAUGUAUUCUCACAAAUCAGGAGCCCAGAAAAGAAAAGACAAGAAAGAACAAGAGGAAAAUGAAAAAGGGGGUCAACAAACGCUCUUUCAAUUUGAAUUAAGUGCGGCUUCAAAAAAAUUUUCAUUGAACCCACCUACAGAAUUGGAGCAAGAAGAAACUGUUGGAAACUUCAUCCCCAAACAAGGAGCAGUUGAUUUGGGUAAUCGUGCACAGUAUUUUGAUGAAGGGGCAGAUGCAGAAAAUGAAAAUGGAAAACAGAAAGAAACAGACAUACAGACGCAUGUGGAAGUGAAUUUGGAAGAUGAGAGGAGUAAUCAUAAUGUAGGCCUUGACAUUGGAUGUAUCACAACCAAGUUUCCAUCUCAAAAGGAAAUAGAAAAUAAGUUACGAAUGGUCACAUCCCUCUGCCUAAAACAUUCCCAAAAGACACCUGCAAUCAAGUGUUCCCAGAAAGCAUACUGAAAUUUCAAAGCACUAAUGGAGACCUACAUGUAAGAGACUGGCUUGUCUGGAGUCAACAGAAACAAGCUUUAUAUUGCUUUCCAUGUCGACUAUUUUGGCACAAGACAGUCAAGACUAGCACUUCUGUGUCUAAGUCUGCACUGGUAUCUGCUGAAGGCUAGGAUUCUAAUGGGAAGUGGCAGAAACUUUCCUACAGGAUCCCAAAACAUGAAAAAGGCAAUAGUCACAGAGAAUGUUACCUAGCUUGGUGAGAACUAGAAAGGCGCCUGCUGUCUGGGACAGGAGCUGACAUCAUCUUAGAAGCGUCGAUCAAAACUGAAGCUGUGAAAUGGUACAACCUUUUAAAGCACAUCAUCGAUGUUGUACUCUUCUUGGGAGAACGUGGUCUAGCAUUUACUGGUUCAUCCCAUCAAAUUGGUGAUUCAAACAAUGGAAACUUUUUACAACUCAUUGAACUCCUCGCCGGGGGGACACCAUCCUUCAGGAACAUGUGCUAAGUGUAGAGGAGUCACAGAAAAUGAGUGAGCGGCUUCAAGUUCAUUAUCUGUCCCCUGACUCACAAAAUGAAUUUAUUGCAGAAUGCUCGAAUCUUGUGAAACAUUUUUCUUGAGAGGCAAUCUGCAAAGUACUUUGCAAUAAUAGUAGAUUCCACACCAGAUUC